rnacentral:rRNA from 1 species
GUGCCAGCAGCCGCGGUAAUACAGAGGGUGCGAGCGUUAAUCGGAAUUACUGGGCGUAAAGCGCACGUAGUCGGCUUGCCAAGUCGGGUGUGAAAUCCCCGGGCUCAACCUGGGAACUGCAUCCGAAACUGGCUUGCUAGAGUAUGGGAGAGGGAGGCGGAAUUUCUGGUGUAGCAGUGAAAUGCGUAGAUAUCAGAAGGAACAUCAGUGGCGAAGGCGGCCUCCUGGACCAAUACUGACGAUCAGGUGCGAAAGCGUGGGGAGCAAACAGGAUUAGAAACCCGUGUAGUCC